UACGUAGGGGGCAAGCGUUGUCCGGAUUUAUUGGGCGUAAAGCGCGCGUAGGCGGCUUAGCAAGUUAGAGGUGAAAGCCCGAAGCUCAACUUCGGAAUUGCCUUUAAAACUGCAAAGCUAGAAUCAUGGAGAGGUGAGUGGAAUUCCGAGUGUAGAGGUGAAAUUCGUAGAUAUUCGGAAGAACACCAGUGGCGAAGGCGACUCACUGGACAUGUAUUGACGCUGAGGUGCGAAAGCGUGGGGAGCAAACAGG
rnacentral:rRNA from 1 species